ACACGUACCGUACGAACGUUAUUCGGAAUUAUUGGGCUUAAAGGGUGCGUAGGCGGCGUCGUAAGUCGGGUGUGAAAUCCCUCAGCUCAACUGAGGAGCUGCGCCCGAAACUGCGACGCUUGAGGGAGACAGGGGUGAGCGGAACUGAUGGUGGAGCGGUGAAAUGCGUUGAUAUCAUCAGGAGCACCGGUGGCGAAAGCGGCUCACUGGGUCUCUUCUGACGCUGAGGCACGAAAGCUAGGGUAGCGAACGGGAUUAGAAACCCUUGUAGUCC
rnacentral:rRNA from 1 species